UCCCUUGUAGCUCAGUUGGUAAAGAACCUGCCUGCAAAGCGGGAGACCCAGGUUUGAUUCCUGGGUUGGGAA
rnacentral:tRNA from 1 species